rnacentral:rRNA from 1 species
UGCUCGGAUCUUUUGCAGCGCUUAUUGCGCGGCGAAAACCUUACACACUAUGUUUUUUUAAUUUGAAACUAUUGCUUUGGUCUGGCUUAGAAAUAGGUUGGGCCAAAGGUUUUAUCAAAACUUCAAUAUUUAUUAUUGAAUUGUUAUUUUUAAUUUUAUGUCAAUUUGUUGAUUAAUAUCAAAAAUCUUCAAAACUUUCAACAACGGAUCUCUUGGUUCUCGCAUCGAUGAAGAACGCAGCGAAAUGCGAUAAGUAAUAUGAAUUGCAGAUUUUCGUGAAUCAUCGAAUCUUUGAACGCACAUUGCGCCCUUUGGUAUUCCAAAGGGCAUGCCUGUUUGAGCGUCAUUUCUCUCUCAAAUCUUCGGAUUUGGUUUUGAGUGAUACUCUUAGUCAGACUAAGCGUUUGCUUGAAAUGUAUUGGCAUGAGUGGUACUAGAUAGUGCUGAACUGUUUUCAAUGUAUUAGGUUUAUCCAACUCAUUGACCAGUAAAGUAUUUGUUUAUUACACAGGCUCGGCCUUACAACAACAAACAAAGUUUGACCUCAAAUCAGGUAGGACUACCCGCUGAACUUAAGCAUAUCAUAGGGGGG